rnacentral:tRNA from 1 species
AGGGUUAUCGCUCAACAGUAGAGUGUGUGCUUAGCACGCAGGAGGUCCUGGGUUCAAUCCCCGGUACCACUA